rnacentral:lncRNA from 1 species
AAAAAUCUAUUUACAAGUAUUUCAAUUGUCACAAGACUAGUCACUUCAUGAAGGACUUUCUUGAGAAGGGAAAUGACAGUUUUUUGGCAAGUGACAAUUGAAUCAGAUGAUGUUUAUGAGAGUGUGGGGCACUAGUGGCAACAAGUUUGGAAAAAAAAUUGGGUCAAAGAUUCUGGUUAUUCUUAUCACAUAUGUCUGAGAAAGAAAUCUUUUGAAACUUUU